GUGGAUAGUUUUUAUACAAUUUGCUUGAGAAGUAGUGCGGAACACUUUCAAAGCCAAGAUUUUUAUCCCUUCUUGCGCUUCGUCAGUUUACUUACUACAAACAAUGGGUACUAUGUACGCCGGUCAUUUUCUCACUUUCGAGAGA
rnacentral:sRNA from 2 species